CAGUAGCCGCGGGAAUACGUAGGGUGCGAGCGUUAAUCGGAAUUACUGGGCGUAAAGCGUGCGCAGGCGGUUAUAUAAGACAGAUGUGAAAUCCCCGGGCUCAACCUGGGACCUGCAUUUGUGACUGUAUAGCUAGAGUACGGUAGAGGGGGAUGGAAUUCCGCGUGUAGCAGUGAAAUGCGUAGAUAUGCGGAGGAACACCGAUGGCGAAGGCAAUCCCCUGGACCUGUACUGACGCUCAUGCACGAAAGCGUGGGGAGCAAACAGGAUUAGAUACCCCUGUAGUCCCUGUCUCUUAUAC
rnacentral:rRNA from 1 species